CAGUCGCCGCGGUAAUACGAAGGGGGCUAGCGUUGUUCGGAUUAACUGGGCGUAAAGGGCGCGUAGGCGGGUUUUUAAGUCAGAGGUGAAAUCCCAAGGCUCAACCUUGGAACUGCCUUUGAUACUGGAAGUCUUGAGUCCGGGAGAGGUGAGUGGAACUGCGAGUGUAGAGGUGAAAUUCGUGGAUAUUCGCAAGAACACCAGUGGCGAAGGCGGCUCACUGGCCCGGUACUGACGCUGAGGCGCGAAAGCGUGGGGAGCAAACAGGAUUAGAUACCCGCGUAGUCCCUGUCUCUUAUAC
rnacentral:rRNA from 1 species